UAGAUGUCGAGAGUGGAGUGAGCUAGAAUAUCGGAACUUGCGACAGAGGCGAACAAAAUUGCGACUGGAUCUUAUUGAGAUAUUUGAGUAAGUUUUCACGAAUGGAAACAAGCAAAAUGACAUUGCGCAUCGAUCAAAUACAUAUAACAUAUUGAAACGCAGUUGGAGUACCUUAUAACAUUUCUGGAUAAUCAAGUUUCAUACUUCAGAAAAGCACGUUUUAAAACAUGUCUGUUUUACCAAUUAAUGCUUCAGAAAAUACUACAAUUACAAGUUUAAAAGCGGUUAAGUCAAAUAAAAUACGUACAAUUGUUGAUGGAUUGUCUACAUUGUUAAAUAUUGGCAUAUGUCCUGACACAAUGACCGAAUGUGUAAGCCUUCUUGAAUGUGGAGUGCAUUCCCAAUCGCUGAUUCAAUUUAUCAAAGAACUAAAAGCUUUUCAAUGUGCAUCCAAUUAAUUAUACAUUUGUAUAGGUUUUAAGCAAAAAUUGUAUGCCUUACACCAUAAUUAAAAUGUAGGUAUCAUUACCAUGGUUAAAAUUUGUCAAAUAAACCAUGUAUCAAAAUAUUAACAAUAUUUGGGAAACUUAAAUGCAAUCAUGGAUAAAUAAUCAAAAUUACUUUAAUACAAACAUAGAUAAGACACUUUAAAAUACAGUAAGCACAAAAAUUAUUCGUACACACUGAUCACACCCUUAUAAAAAUCAAAAAAUAUUUAAAUUUUCUGAUUAAGCAUCCUUAUAAAAAUUAACUAAAUCAAAAAUGUCACUUUACGAACAUAAAUUAUUCUAACGGCCGUUAGGUUGAGCUUUACAGCUAAAAAUCAAAAUAAAGGUUUUUUUGUCGCA